UUACGUUAUAUAUUAUUAUUUUUUUAGAUUUUGAGGAUUUAAGUAUAUUUGUUUUUUUUAAAUACAUAAUUAAAAUGGGUACCCGAACUCGAAUACAACCGAAUCCGCAAUGAUUCGAACCAUAUCCAAACAAAAAUUUGUAAAUAUUUGAAUACGAUUUAAAUUUUCAACUCUAAAAAUCUGAAUAUAUCAACUGAAUCUGAACGGAUAUAUGAAUACCCAUCCCUAGAAAAAGCUAUACAAGAAAUCUUUUAAUAAAUAAUACAAUAAAUAAUCUAAUAAACUAUUUUACUCCGCGUACAACACGGAUUACUACCUAGUAGUACUAUUAUACUGGAAAAAUCGCACC
rnacentral:lncRNA from 1 species